rnacentral:rRNA from 1 species
CAAUAGCGUAUAUUUAAGUUGUUGCAGUUAAAAAGCUCGUAGUUGGAUUUCGGGUGGGACGCAGCGGUCUCGCAUUGCGUUUGUACUGCUGCAGCCCUCCUUCUUGCCGGGGGCGGACUCUCGGACUUCACUGUCUGGGGGUCAGAAUCGGCGAUGUUACUUUGAGUAAAUUAGAGUGUUCAAAGCAAGCUUACGCUCUGAAUAUAAUAGCAUGGGAUAACACGACAGGACUCUGGCCUAUCGUGUUGGUCUAUAGGACCAGAGUAAUGAUUAAGAGGGACAGUCGGGGGCAUUCGUAUUCCGUUGUCAGAGGUGAAAUUCUUGGAUUUACGGAAGACGAACAUCUGCGAAAGCAUUUGCCAAGGAUGUUUUCAUUGA